UUUUUUUUUUUUUUUUUUUUUUAAGGACUUUCCAAAUAUCCUAAUUUCAUGAUGCUUGGGAAGAAAUCUGAAAGUAAAAAUGAAAAUAAAUGUCUCUAUCUCCUUUUUUUCCCAUUGGCUGCCUUUCUUUCCUUUUUAAACCUCAUCUCCAUCCAGGAAGUUCUUGCCCUAUAUUUUUCUGAGAAUUGGAAAGUCAGACCCUUGAUUUGUGUGUCUGCCUUUGCCCAGGAGCGAGCUGAGGGGCGCAGAGUCAAAGGAGCUCUUUUCAGAACCUUCCAUUUUCCCAUUAGCCCGCAUCUCUGAGCACCUUUUAUGUUCCUGUCUUCGCAGAGGAGACCAGCACAAAAACACUUUCUAAUUAUUGUUGGCCUUUUAUGACUUUGGAGCUUCUGCAGCCUAGAAAUGAACAUCCUUGCCUGAGAAUUUUGUCCUUUUUCUCUUGGGGGAACCACGUCAUCCCCACGGGGUUAGUUACGAAGCCCUGAGCUGGCAGAAUUGGUCUAAUGCGUGUGAUGUCAGAGAGGUCAAGAUCACAGCUCUGAGCUCAUUUGCAUUCCUCGCUGGUGGGGGAACGAAAGCCCACCCCAGGCCACAGCCUUCACUGCAUGGCUCUCUUGUUUCCCUUCAUUUCCUCCAAAUUGAGAAGUAGAUUAAGAAGAAGGGAAAAAAAGUCGGGUUUUCUCUCCAAAAUCCUCUGUCCAGUAUUCUCAGCCAGGCCGUAACGUGGACAGGUCAUUGCUGCAUCAAGAGAAGGAAGAGCCUUUGAGUGUGGCUGGGCCCAGCCCAUAUCUUCUGUCAGGUCAAUUCCACAGCUGUCUUGUCUCUUUCUGAAGAGUUUCUGGGCUGAGCAUCUCUGAAAGCUCAGUCAUCUGAAAUCCCGCCCAAAGAAUCAGUUCUCCCUGCUCUGGCCAUUGUAUCACCUGUGUCUGGGUGUUUUGGUGCAGACAACAGAAUUGCUCUCUGGCAAAUUUAAGCAGAAGCAGUUGGGGGCUCACGGAAUCUCCGAGCGGGCAGACAGCCAGGCUCAGGGCAGCCACACAGCAGGAGCAUAGUGGGUGCUGUGUGCAGAUCUUGUUGCAGGAUUGCUUUGUGAAGAUGCCAGUGCUGCGACUGCUGGGCACAAAGUGCAGCUCGGAUGCCAGACACCAAGUGCCACCUCUAAGCUGCUCUUGUGGCUCCAGGAACUGGACGGAGUGGCUUGUGACCUUGCUUGUGAUCUGCCCAGUGCCCGCUUCUCCCAGCCACGAGCUUCAACCUCGAGUCCAGCCUGGACGUAGUGUGAUUGUCGGAGCCCAGGUCCACAUGCGAAGGAGGCUGAGAAUGACAGUUUCUUGCUUCUCAUUUGAAAAGAUGUGGGCUCAUGAGGCAGGGUACCCCCAAGGCAUGGAAAAGGUGUUCGAAGUUCAGGGUGAUCCAAAGGAAUGGCGGAUGCCCAACAGCCUGGGCAAGGCCUUUCCUUGAUUUUUUUUUGCAUCACUAUGAGUGAGCGGUUUCAGGGUACAAAAGAGGAAAGCCAAUCGAAGGAUUGUCCCUGUCCCUUACUUCCCAUCAAAGGCAGUAAUAAACUAAGCUGCCCUGAGACGGCCCAGCCCCACUGUCAGCCAUAGCACAAGGUGGCUUCUGCAGGGGGCUGGCCAGUGCCUGACCCCAGAUGGACACAGAGCUGGACCUCCACACCCCAGGUGAUGGUUUCAGAGUGUCCAGGUGCUAUGACCCUCUUCAUUCCUUCCCAGAAGCAGCAACUGCAGGCUGCUGGUGGGUUCAUUAUUUUGAAUUGGGAAUUGAUGACAGAUAAAGGGAAAGCAGCUGGUUUAAAGAAUACUCGAAAUCCCUAAGGUUGUUGGGGAGCAAGGAUAUUCCAGAUCGUCGGGGCUGGGAGGAGAAGCAGCCAGAAAAGGGAGACAUGCGGGAUGUUGUUUCAUCCAGGGCUCGUGUGGCCUCCAGGAUGCAGGUAGAAGAAGUGGAGGUCAGGCGAUAUCAGAGCGUCUGUAAACGAAGACUCGUCAGGAACAGGUGCAGUUUCACAUCUACGGACACAAAAUCUCUCCUGAGUUCUUGGUGCUUGUACACUCCUCCCCUUCUCCUCCCUGACCCUCCUCCUGCCAGACGAGGAAUAUUAAUGCCUUUAGCAUCUAGAAUCUUUUAAAAAGGCCCUAAUGGGUCCUUGAGUCCAGGGUUUCCGAAGCAGGGUCGUCAGCCCUUCCUUGUCUAAUUCACAUGGGACCUCGAUUCGAAUGCUGUUUUCCCGGCCCCAGCACCAGCCCCAGCCCCAGCCCUACAGACUCCAACUCUCUUGGGUGACACCCAAGGAUGUGAGUUUCAACCAGUUUCUCAGGUCAUUGUGCAGACCUUGUAGAUCUAAUCCUUCCUCCUUAUCUAGGGAUGGGGAAACAUAGGCCCUGAGAGGGGCAGCGACUUGCUCAAAGGUAGACAGGCGGACACGAGCAGAGCUGAGCCUAGAAUGUUCCAAUGCCUGUCUCCGGUCCUGUAUCAUUGACCCUGACCUUCCAGCUCCUCCAGCAGAUCUUCCUGAAUCUACAUUGGGGGUAUUGACAGUGAACUGUGGAGCUGGAACCCCAUUUUAGGCCAAGGAGAUCUUGCCUGCAAAGUUGUAGAAUGCAUUUUCUCUUAAAUGCAGCUGUGGUCACCAAAAGGACCGUCAGCCAGCUAUGUAUGGAUGUAACAUGUGUAACCGAUUCUUCACUGAAGUCAGGGCUCAGCCUGGACUUGGGGAUGGAGGGGGCACUCUGUCCGUGCCAGGCUGGCCUCUCCUCUCCUUUGACACUCUCCACCUCCCCCACCCCCGCCCCGGGUAGAUGCUUCCUUCCCCAGGAGGGCAUUGCAUUCACGUAGCCCCAGGCCUUGCUACUCACCUGGGUGAGUUGGGCCAUCCUUACCUUGUACAGAGGACCGAGGCCAAAUGUCUCGGGUGCUGGUUGGCAGCCGACUUGGGGAUGCUGCUAUAUUCAGUGUUUCUAUGGCAGCAGGAGUGGGCCUUUAGCUGGAGGUAUAUGGAGAUUUGGUUUAAAGACAAAAAUCUACAGAAAAGCCGGAGUGCAAUUUUAUCACCAAGGCAUCCUCACCCCCUCAGGCAGAGGUGCCCUGUACUGGCAGUGGGGUCAGUGCCUUGGUGUCAGUUAUUUGGACGAGUGACUUGACUGUGCUGUUUUGCGUAACCCGUUGAGACAGCUGGUUUGUUCCUCCUCUGGGGAUGUCACAGCUGCAGGAACAAAGGCCACAGGCUGUCACCAGGCCGUGCUGUGUUCACUCUGCAAGAUUGGUUGCACCCUGACCUGACACUGGAGGGGCAGCUGGGAGGGCAUCCAGAAGUCACAUCCUCAGAGGAGUCACAGAUGCUCAGCAGUGGGAGGGGGCCCAAGAGGUGACCCCCAGUCACGUGGUAGGAGAUGACUGGAGAGCUUGGAGAUGGGCUGUAGGGCCUCUGGGGAGCCUUCCCUGGAAAUCCUUCCCUCCUGCUUUGGCUGGUCUUUCUUUCAGGAUUAGCCCUUCCACUUAGAAGAU
rnacentral:lncRNA from 1 species